UGCGGCUGGAUCCCUCCUUUAAAGAGUUUCUCGAAACCCGACUCGCUAUUUAAUUGCAAAGGCCUUUGCCGGUCUUUGGAACCGAAUAGAGGGCCUAUAGCUCAGCUCUGGUUAGAGCGCACGCCUGAUAAGCGUGAGGUCGAUGGUUCAAGUCCAUCUAGGCCCACCACGCGAACUCAUUGGGGGCGUAGCUCAGCUGGGAGAGCGCCUGCCUUGCACGCAGGUGGUCAUCGGUUCGAAUCCGUUCGCCUCCACCAGUCCGCUGGUGUUGAGAGAGAGCGGUAGUUCUUUGAUAGCGAAAUAGGUGUGAAGUUGCGUUGCUGAAAAAAGAUAGUAAGGGCAAUCGGUGGAUGCCUUGGCGCUAGGAGGCGAUGAAGGACGCGGUAGGCUGCGAUAAGCUCUGGUGAGUCGCCAAACGGACUGUGACCCAGAGAUUUCCGAAUGGGGAAACCCGG
rnacentral:misc_RNA from 1 species